UUGUACUAGGCGGGGAGUUAGCGGUGCCCUUAUCCCGAAAUCCGCUUAUGCGGGGCUGAAUUCCCUCCGGAGGGUUUUCCCCUGAUAAUUUGUGUGCCAUUCUAAUCGGUCGCCGCGCAACAAACGGUUACGAACCUCGUCAGGUCCGGAAGGAAGCAGCGAUAAGUAAUUCAGUUUGUGUCGUGGAUUGAUCCCGGUUACGUUUAUGGUGCCUGUUGUCAGGAAAAUUCGAUGGGGGGUGUACAA
rnacentral:SRP_RNA from 1 species